rnacentral:rRNA from 1 species
UACGGAGGGUGCGAGCGUUAUUCGGAAUAACUGGGUGUAAAGGGCACGCAGGCGGGCUUUUAAGUGAGAUGUGAAAGCCCCGGGCUUAACCUGGGAAUAGCAUUUCAGACUGGGAGUCUAGAGUACUUUAGGGAGGGGUAGAAUUCCACGUGUAGCGGUGAAAUGCGUAGAGAUGUGGAGGAAUACCGAAGGCGAAGGCAGCCCCUUGGGAUUGUACUGACGCUCAUGUGCGAAAGUGUGGGGAGCAAACAGG